rnacentral:rRNA from 1 species
UACAGAGGUCUCAAGCGUUGUUCGGAUUCAUUGGGCGUAAAGGGUGCGUAGGCGGCGCGGUAAGUCGGGUGUGAAAUCUCGGGGCUUAACUCCGAAACUGCAUUCGAUACUGCCGUGCUUGAGGACUGGAGAGGAGACUGGAAUUUACGGUGUAGCGGUGAAAUGCGUAGAUAUCGUAAGGAAGACCAGUGGCGAAGGCGGGUCUCUGGACAGUUCCUGACGCUGAGGCACGAAGGCGUGGGGAGCAAACAGG